rnacentral:rRNA from 1 species
UCCAGACUCCUACGGGAGGCAGCAGUGGGGGAUAUUGCACAAUGGGGGGAACCCUGAUGCAGCGACGCCGCGUGGGUGAAGGAGCGUUUCGGCGCGUAAAGCCCUAUCGGCAGGGAAGAAGGAGGACGGUACCUGACUAAGAAGCCCCGGCUAACUACGUGCCAGCAGCCGCGGUAAUACGUAGGGGGCAAGCGUUAUCCGGAUUUACUGGGUGUAAAGGGGGCGCGGACGGCAGCGCAAGCCAGGAGUGAAAGCCCGGGGCCCAACCCCGGGACUGCUCUUGGAACUGCGCGGCUGGAGUGCAGGAGGGGCAGGCGGAAUUCCUGGUGUAGCGGUGAAAUGCGUAGAUAUCAGGAGGAACACCGGUGGCGAAGGCGGCCUGCUGGACUGCGACUGACGUUGAGGCCCGAAAGCGUGGGGAGCAAACAGGAUUAGAUACCCGUGUAGC